rnacentral:rRNA from 1 species
GGGUUGUGAGGUUAAGCGACUAAGCGUACACGGUGGAUGCCCUGGCAGUCAGAGGCGAUGAAGGACGUGCUAAUCUGCGAUAAGCGCCGGUAAGGUGAUAUGAACCGUUAUAACCGGCGAUUUCCGAAUGGGGAAACCCAGUGUGAUUCGUCACACUAUCAUUAACUGAAUCCAUAGGUUAAUGAGGCGAACCGGGGGAACUGAAACAUCUAAGUACCCCGAGGAAAAGAAAUCAACCGAGAUUCCCCCAGUAGCGGCGAGCGAACGGGGAGGAGCCCAGAGCCUGAAUCAGCAUGUGUGUUAGUGGAAGCGUCUGGAAAGGCGCGCGAUACAGGGUGACAGCCCCGUACACAAAAGCGCAUGUGCUGUGAGCUCGAUGAGUAGGGCGGGACACGUGGUAUCCUGUCUGAAUAUGGGGGGACCAUCCUCCAAGGCUAAAUACUCCUGACUGACCGAUAGUGAACCAGUACCGUGAGGGAAAGGCGAAAAGAACCCCGGCGAGGGGAGUGAAAAAGAACCUGAAACCGUGUACGUACAAGCAGUGGGAGCACAGGUUUACCUGUGUGACUGCGUACCUUUUGUAUAAUGGGUCAGCGACUUAUAUUCUGUAGCAAGGUUAACCGAAUAGGGGAGCCGGAGGGAAACCGAGUCUUAACCGGGCGUUAAGUUGCAGGGUAUAGACCCGAAACCCGGUGAUCUAGCCAUGGGCAGGUUGAAGGUUGGGUAACACUAACUGGAGGACCGAACCGACUAAUGUUGAAAAAUUAGCGGAUGACCUGUGGCUGGGGGUGAAAGGCCAAUCAAACCGGGAGAUAGCUGGUUCUCCCCGAAAGCUAUUUAGGUAGCGCCUCGUGAAUUCAUCUCCGGGGGUAGAGCACUGUUUCGGCUAGGGGGUCAUCCCGACUUACCAACCCGAUGCAAACUGCGAAUACCGGAGAAUGUUAUCACGGGAGACACACGGCGGGUGCUAACGUCCGUCGUGAAGAGGGAAACAACCCAGACCGCCAGCUAAGGUCCCAAAGUCAUGGUUAAGUGGGAAACGAUGUGGGAAGGCCCAGACAGCCAGGAUGUUGGCUUAGAAGCAGCCAUCAUUUAAAGAAAGCGUAAUAGCUCACUGGUCGAGUCGGCCUGCGCGGAAGAUGUAACGGGGCUAAACCAUGCACCGAAGCUGCGGCAGCGACACUGUGUGUUGUUGGGUAGGGGAGCGUUCUGUAAGCCUGUGAAGGUGGCCUGUGAGGGUUGCUGGAGGUAUCAGAAGUGCGAAUGCUGACAUAAGUAACGAUAAAGCGGGUGAAAAGCCCGCUCGCCGGAAGACCAAGGGUUCCUGUCCAACGUUAAUCGGGGCAGGGUGAGUCGACCCCUAAGGCGAGGCCGAAAGGCGUAGUCGAUGGGAAACGGGUUAAUAUUCCCGUACUUGGUGUUACUGCGAAGGGGGGACGGAGAAGGCUAUGUUGGCCGGGCGACGGUUGUCCCGGUUUAAGCGUGUAGGUGUGUGUUCCAGGUAAAUCCGGUUCACUUUAACACUGAGGCGUGA